GUAGCCAAAUGCCUCGUCAUCUAA
rnacentral:ncRNA from 5 species